rnacentral:rRNA from 1 species
GGGAUGACACAGUAGGAUAAGCUAAGCACACUGUUGGUUAUGUGUGCCCAAGCAUUGAGGCAGUCAAAGUAGGCAAAUCCGCUUUGAUAAUGCUGGGAUGUGAUGGGGAGCGAAAUUUAGUAGCGAAGUAGCUGAUUUCACACUGUCAAGAAAAGUCUCUAUCGAGGUUAAAGGUACCCGUACCGCAAACCGACACAGGUGGGUGAGGAGAGUAUCCUAAGGCCAGCGAGAGAACUGUUGUUAAGGAACUCGGCAAAAUGACCCCGUAACUUAGGGAUAAGGGGUGCCACCAUCAGGUGGCCGCAGAGAAUAGGCCCAAGCGACUGUUUACCAAAAACAUAGGUUUCUGCUAAGUCGCAAGACGAUGUAUAGGAGCUGACGCCUGCCCGGUGCUGGAAGGUUAAGGGGAUCUGUUAGAGCAAUCGAAGCAGUGAACUUAAGCCCCAGUAAACGGCGGCCGUAACUAUAACGGUCCUAAGGUAGCGAAAUUCCUUGUCGGGUAAGUUCCGACCCGCACGAAAGGCGUAACGAUUUGGGCACUGUCUCAACAACAGACUCGGUGAAAUUGUAAUUCCGGUGAAGAUGCCGGAUACCUGCGACAGGACGGAAAGACCCCAUGGAGCUUUACUGUAGCUUGACAUUGGGUCUUGGUACUACAUGUACAGGAUAGGUGGGAGGCUUUGAAACCAGGACGCCAGUUUUGGCGGAGCCAUCCUUGGGAUACCACCCUUGUAGUACUGGGACUCUAACCAUAGGCCAUGAAUCUGGUCUUGGGACACUGUCAGGUGGGCAGUUUGACUGGGGCGGUCGCCUCCCAAAAGGUAACGGAGGCGCUCAAAGGUUCUCUCAGUACGGUCGGAAAUCGUACGUAGAGUGUAAAGGCAAAAGAGAGCUUGAUUGCAAGACAUACAGGUCGAGCAAGGAUGAAAAUCGGACUUAGUGAUCCGGUGGUUCUGCGUGGAAGGGCCAUCGCUCAACGGAUAAAAGCUACCCUGGGGAUAACAGGCUUAUCUCCCCCAAGAGUCCACAUCGACGGGGAGGUUUGGCACCUCGAUGUCGGCUCAUCACAUCCUGGGGCUGUAGUAGGUCCCAAGGGUUGGGCUGUUCGCCCAUUAAAGUGGUACGCGAGCUGGGUUCAGAACGUCGUGAGACAGUUCGGUCCCUAUCCGUCGCAGGCGUAGGAAAUUUGAGAAGACCUGUCCUUAGUACGAGAGGACCGGGAUGGACGUACCUCUGGUGUACCAGUUGUCCUGCCAAGGGCAUGGCUGGGUAGCUAUGUACGGAAUGGAUAAGCGCUGAAAGCAUCUAAGCGCGAAGCCAACUUCAAGAUAAGA